rnacentral:rRNA from 1 species
AUUGAACGCUGGCGGCAUGCCUUACACAUGCAAGUCGAACGGCAGCACGGGAGCAAUCCUGGUGGCGAGUGGCGAACGGGUGAGUAAUAUAUCGGAACGUGCCCAGUAGUGGGGGAUAACUGCUCGAAAGAGCAGCUAAUACCGCAUACGACCUGAGGGUGAAAGGGGGGGAUCGCAAGACCUCUCGCUAUUGGAGCGGCCGAUAUCAGAUUAGCUAGUUGGUGGGGUAAAGGCCUACCAAGGCAACGAUCUGUAGUUGGUCUGAGAGGACGACCAGCCACACUGGGACCGAAACACGGCCCAGACUCCUACGGGAGGCAGCAGUGGGGAAUUUUGGACAAUGGGCGCAAGCCUGAUCCAGCAAUGCCGCGUGCAGGAAGAAGGCCUUCGGGUUGUAAACUGCUUUUGUCAGGGAAGAAAUCCUCUAGGUUAAUACCCUUGGGGGGAUGACGGUACCUGAAGAAUAAGCACCGGCUAACUACGUGCCAGCCGCCGCGGUAACAC